AUAGAUAUAUAACUAGAGUAUAGUUAGGUACAAGGAUAGAAUGAGCCAAAGCCAAAGCAAUGCUAAUGUAACCUUGGUGGUAAAUUUUGGUUUGAUAAAAUUUUCAUGUUUGUCAUAUGAACUUUUAUAUUUCAGUACAAUUUCUUUCGAUUUUAGGCUGAUUCUAAACAAUUAAAAAAGAUGUGGCAAAAUAUGAAGGCAAAAGCUAGGGAUGCCAAAACCCUUGAAGCCCAAAGGAAGAGGACAGAAGGAGGACCAGCACCGCCUGAAAUGGGGCCAAUGGAAACUCAAGUGAUUGCAGUCAUGCCACAUAUAAUGCCGUCAAUAGAUGUACCAAUAGACUGUGACACAUUAACUACAGUAGAAGCUGGUACUGGUUAUGACAAUGACGGUGAAGGCUGGAGACCAAAGAGGGCAAGAAUGUCCAGUAUAGAGGCCACACUUGAAUCUGUAAAUCAGCCGGGACCAAGCCAGGACUGGACUGAUGAAGCUGGGUUGACGGAAACCAGUGUUGAGGUCACCACUAAAAGUGAACCCUCUCAGCUAUCAGCUACACAAUCAGCGAUCAGAAAAAAUAAACCUUCAUUUGAGGAUAUUAAAAAAAAAUUGCUGUGGCAAGAGUUAGACAACAAAAAAAAAAAAUUGAGAUAGAAGUGGAACACAUGAAACUAAAAAAUCAGUUAGAAAUAGAAUUUCUUCGACAAAAAUAUAAAUUAGAACUAGAAAUUUUACAGUUUAAAAAAGAAUCUGAAAAUAAAUGAUUAAAAUGAAACAAUUUUU